AACGAACGCUGGCGGCAUGCCUAACACAUGCAAGUCGAACGAGACCUUCGGGUCUAGUGGCGCACGGGUGCGUAACGCGUGGGAACCUGCCCUUAGGUUCGGCAUAACUCCCCGAAAGGGGUGCUAAUACCGGAUAAUGUCUUCGGACCAAAGAUUUAUCGCCUUUGGAUGGGCCCGCGUUGGAUUAGCUAGUUGGUAGGGUAAAAGCCUACCAAGGCGACGAUCCAUAGCUGGUCUGAGAGGAUGAUCAGCCACACUGGGACUGAGACACGGCCCAGACUCCUACGGGAGGCAGCAGUGGGGAAUAUUGGACAAUGGGCGGAAGCCUGAUCCAGCAAUGCCGCGUGAGUGAUGAAGGCCUUAGGGUUGUAAAGCUCUUUUACCCGGGAUGAUAAUGACAGUACCGGGAGAAUAAGCUCCGGCUAACUCCGUG
rnacentral:rRNA from 1 species